AGUCGCCGUUGGUCGUUUCCUCCAACCGCGGUAGCGAGCCACACGACCGAGCUACCCAUUGCUGAUGCUUCCGCACCACAAUCUACCUCCGCCGCUCCGCGCCUUCCCGCGCGGCGGCCACCUCCGCCUGCCGUGCUCCCCUCACGGACCGUCUCGCCGUCGCCUCUCGCCAGCUGCACCAGCUCCCAUACCCCGAUGGCCACUGCCGCUCCGCGCCACCGCGCCCGGCGAAUCCGGCGCCUCCGCCCUCGACGCGCUCCUCUCGGCCGCGGAGCUGCUCUGCCUCGCGCCGCCCGCCGUCUGCUCGGCGGUUUACGCCGCCCGCCUCGUCCUCGCGCGCGGCAACCCAGUCAAGCCGCUAGCGAGCGGGAGGCUGCUCGUCGUCCAGUACGUUCUCUUGGUGGCCGCCGUGGCCAUCGGGGCCCUGGUCCGGCGGAGGCAGUGGGCGCGGCUUACCCGGGUCGGCGUCCGCGGAGUCGGCGCGUCGGCGCCGUGUGGGGUGGAUUUGGUGGGGAGGGUGGAGAAGGUGGAGGAGAGCGUGCGGGGCGUGGUGGCGGCCGUUGGAGUGCUGUCGAGGACGGUGGAGAAGCUCGGCGUCAGGUUUAGGGUGCUGCGGAGGACGCUGAGGGAUCCUAUCAGUGAGACUGCAGCAUUGGCCCAAAAGAAUUCAGAAGCCACUCGAAUACUAGCGGUGCGAGAAAGCCUUUUUGAGAAAGAUAUUGGUUCAAUCCAAAAGGUUCUAUAUGCGAUGCAGGAACAACAAGAAAAGCAACUUGAGCUAAUCCUUGCAAUUGGGGAAGCAAGCAGGAUAUUAGGUGAUAGGCAGGACAUGUUAGGCGGGGAAACUGCUAGAUCUUCCAAAUCAGCUCCAGAGAAAGUAGACAAACAAGCAAACAUAAAAGCUGAAACACUCGCAGGAGGCAAUAGCAAACCCUGAUUUCAUUUACAGAAACAUAAAUUAGGAGCGUCAGAAGUCUCUCCAGUAAGGUUUUGUUCCAUCCAAUGUUGAAGAGGAAUGGAUGAUUAAGUGGUUCCCUGGCAAAUGUGGUCGCCCCUUUAAACAGGAAGCUGCCGGCAAUAUUUUGAUGUGCUGUCUGUGAACACAAUAAUAACCUCACCAUAACUUGUUACUAUCUGUACAGGGCGAGGGCAAGCUGGUGUUUUUACGAGAUCCCAUUUACAUAUGCUGUCAAGCAUGGAUUUCUCCUUGUGUCCUAUAAGUACAUGUUGAUAAUUUGAAGAUGUGGAAUCUGCUGGCCCACUAUUAGACAGUGCAAAUAGAGGAAAGCGGGCUUGGCCUCGCUGCAUUGACAGGAUCGAAAUCAUCGAUCAUUCAAAUAUGGGCGAGGAAGAUCAAUUAUGAUGGUGUUUUCAGAUGGGUGCUCCAAAAAACUGUUGAACUGGACAAGCUACUUCCAUUGGGACCAUCGAUGAAGAAACCAGAAAUUUCUUUUAUCCGGGGGUUUGAUGAGGUCACCAAUGCGAUUAUUCUAUCUAUGGUUGAUGGUGUUGGCGUCAUGAUCCAACUUGAGUCGUUGAAGUUCAGAAAUUUAUGUACUCCUUCUUGCACAGCAUAUUAUCCCUACAGAAAUUUUUGUACUGCAGGUCUGUUCAAAGGGAAGCUUCAGGAGGACAUUCAAGCUGGGGCAGAUCACGUUCAGCAGGAGGAGUCUUCAGAGUCUUCUAAGGAUUGAUGCAAGGUCUGGGACAUCUGGUGCAAGGCUGUGAUGUCGUUUUGUUUGUGUUGGACUGGCGAUCCCAGGCUGAUGGUCAUGCCUCAUUUCAUUGUUAUUCCUAUUUACUCACUUUUAACUUGUAUGGGAGGUUUAUUUCGACAUCUGUUUGUUUAGCAGGCAAGCUCUCUAGGUGUGGGCCUGGUGAUAAUAAUGUUGUCACUUAUAUAGUUGAUCUAGUCGCGAAAAUUGCUUUUAGAGCU